AAAACAUCUUUUCUUGUAUUUUAUAUGAAAUUUGACCUGCCCAAUGAUUAUUAUUUAAUGGCCGCGGUAUUUUGACCGUGCAAAGGUAGCAUAAUCAUUAGUUUAUUAAUUGUGAACUUGUAUGAAUGGUUAAACGAAAUAUUAACUGUCUCAUAUUUAAAAUAAUAGAAUUUAAAUUUUGAGUUAAAAUGCUUAAAUUUUAUUAGAGGACGAGAAGACCCUAUAGAUCUUUAUUAUAAAUUAUAUUAAUAUAUUUAGUUUAUUAUUUUAAUUAAUAUUAUUUAUUAUUUUGUUGGGGUGAUAUUUAGAUAUAAUUAACUCUUUUUUAUUAUUAUCAAUAAUUUUUGUUUAUUUGACCUUUUAUUAAUGUUAAUAAGAUUUAGAUACCUUAGGGAUAACAGCGUAAUUCUUUUUGAGAGUUCUUAUCAACAAAGGAGAUUGCGACCUCGAUGUUGGAUUAAGAUUAUAAUUAGGUGUAGUUGCUUAAUUAAUAAGUCUGUUCGACUUUUAAAUUCUUACAUGAUCUGA
rnacentral:rRNA from 1 species